AUACUUAUGUUUCUCUUCAGAACGAACAAAUCUUUCGCCUUUUACUAAAGAUUUCCGUGGAGAGGAAUAUUAUAAGUUCAACUCAAUUUUUUGACACCCUGUUUAAUGCGGGGCU